CCUACGGGCGGCAGCAGUGGGGGAUAUUGCACAAUGGGGGGAACCCUGAUGCAGCGACGCCGCGUGGGUGAAGAAGCGCCUCGGCGCGUAAAGCUCUGUCAGCAGGGAAGAAAAUGAUGGUAGCUGAAGAAGAAGCCCCGGCUAAUUACGUGCCAGCAGCCGCGGUAAUACGUAGGGGGCAAGCGUUAUCCGGAUUUACUGGGUGUAAAGGGGGCGCAGACGGCGGUGCAAGCCAGGAGUGAAAGCCCGGGGCUCAACCCCGGGACUGCUCUUGGAACUGCGUGGCUGGAGUGCAGGAGGGGCAGGCGGAAUUCCUGGUGUAGCGGUGAAAUGCGUAGAUAUCAGGAGGAACACCGGUGGCGAAGGCGGCCUGCUGGACUGCAACUGACGUUGAGGCCCGAAAGCGUGGGGAGCAAACAGGAUUAGAUACCCCGGUAGUC
rnacentral:rRNA from 1 species